rnacentral:tRNA from 1 species
AGAAAGUAAUGCAAGAACUGCUAANUCAUGCACCCGUACUUAAACCCACGGCUUUCUU